rnacentral:rRNA from 1 species
CCUACGGGGGGCUGCAGUGAGGAAUAUUGGUCAAUGGUCGCGAGGCUGAACCAGCCAAGUAGCGUGAAGGAAGACGGCCCUAUGGGUUGUAAACUUCUUUUAUGCGGGAGUAAAAUGAAUCACGUGUGAUUCUUUGUAAGUACCCCAUGAAUAAGCACCGGCUAAUUCCGUGCCAGCAGCCGCGGUAAUACGGAGGAUGCGGGCGUUAUCCGGAUUUAUUGGGUUUAAAGGGUGCGCAGGCGGAGGUGCAAGCGGGCGGUAAAAUUCCGGGGCUCAACCUCGUACUGCCGUGGAAACUGGGUCGCUUGAGUGCGCGAGAAGUAUGCGGAAUGCGUGGUGUAGCGGUGAAAUGCUUAGAUAUCACGAAGAACUCCGAUUGCGAAGGCAGCAUACGGGCGCGCAACUGACGCUGAAGCUCGAAGGCGUGGGUAUCGAACAGGAUUAGAUACCCGAGUAGUC